GUUUGGUCUCUCUCUCAAGUCGGCUUCCUCUUCCUUUGCCAAGAAAAGAAACUCUGGUCCGGUGGGGGAUCUGGAACCCCCGUGGCAAGAACGUUCUCCGACGGCCCGGAAGCAGCGAUCUAUCGGCGGCAGCGACGGGCUUGGCGUCGGGCUCUGCCGCUGGACCGAAGGCAUGGUCCGCUGCCUACCGCCUCAUGAGGCAAAUGGGAUGGGACGAAGGCGAGGCCUUGGCAAAGACGAGCAAGGCAUUAAGGACAGACAUCCUGAUACUCAAUAUCGAGUUGUGCUCUUUACUAUCUUGCGUCGUAUUCUGUUUCAAUCAUCUCUAUUUGGUAGAAGCAUCGAAGGGAGAUGAUGCUGAUCAAAUUAAGUCUAGACAAGAUGCACUGGAGCAUGAUGUGGUCAAUGAAGGUACAAAAAAAAGGAGAGAGGGGGAAGAUUGUGAAAGCAUACUCGGAAGACCUUCAAGGAAUUCUUGUAAAGGUUGUGUCGAGUUCAUCGCACAAAAAAAAAAGGGGCUUUGGAACACAUCAUAUCAAGAGACGGGAAAUUUUGCAGGCAGCAGCAGAUUGCUGUUAUGCGGACGUGGUGCAUCAGCAGCUCAAUCCCAGACUAGAAACUAUCUUGUACACUGCAUUAGAUUGCAUGGUAAAGUAGAAGUUAUCCGAGUACAAACUUGUGGUAAAGCUGUGAGUUUUAAUCGAUUCGUUAUGGUUUUGUAACCGGUGUGGAUCUUUUGUUUCCCAAAUAUUAAAUUGAUAUGGUAUUAUGGUCUUCCUUUGA